GCCCCCGUGGCUUAGUGGUAGAGUGCCCGCGUGGUAAGCGGGUGGACCCGGGUUCGAAUCCCGGCGGGGGCU
rnacentral:tRNA from 1 species